GCCCCGGUCGUCUAGCCCGGUCAAAGGCUCACCGACUAGGGAUAUGGGCCUUUCGAGCCCAGGACCCGGGUUCAAAUCCCGGCCGGGGCA
rnacentral:tRNA from 3 species